rnacentral:rRNA from 1 species
GGUUGAUCCUGCCGGAGGUUACUGCUAUUGGAAUCCGAUUAAGCCAUGCGAGUCGAUCGGGUCAGACCCGAGGCGCACUGCUCAGUAACACGUGGAGAAUCUGCCCUUAGGUGAGGAAUAACCUCGGGAAACUGAGAAUAAUACCUCAUAGGUUAUGGAUGCUGGAAUGCUUCAUAGCCCAAAGCCCCAGCGCCUAAGGAUGACUCUGCGGACUAUCAGGUAGUAGUCAGGGUAAGGACCUGACUAGCCUACGACGGAUACGGGGUGUGAGAGCACUAGCCCGGAGAUGGAUUCUGAGACACGAAUCCAGGCCCUA